rnacentral:tRNA from 1 species
GAAAUAUAUUAUAUUAAACUUCUAAUUUAAUUUAUAGUGAUUUAAAUCAUUAAUAUUUCU